UGUCUCUUCCACUUGGGUCACUUUCCAGAUAUCUUUUGGCUGUGAAUAGAUCGGGAUAAACAUAGCAAAUACAGCUCCAACAUCAAUGAUAAAGCAGUCCCCGGUAUUAAAGCUGGACCAACUGAAUGGCACCUCUGUAGCUCGGAUCACCCUGCGACCUUUAACAUGUAGAAGUCUCUUAGCGGAAAGAUCAUUGGUGACCACAUGGGUGAAGCCAGAGGCCACCCCACCUGCCUAAAAAAAACAAAAAAACAACAUUAGUGCAUUUUACUCAAUUAUUUUCACAGUCAUGACAAAUUUUCCUGCCCUCUGAGAAAGGAACCUAUAUAGUCAACCUCCACUGAUUAAAGAAUUGCAAAGAUAA